UUAUUAAGGGGGGAUUAAGGGGGGAUCGACACCCCCCUUAUCAAGGGGGGCAGGGGGGAUCGACACCCCCCUUAUCAAG
rnacentral:tRNA from 1 species